GAGACAUCCGUGCACAACGUCUGCUAGUGAUCUCGGGAAGAAUGGUUACUUGAAUUUGUUUUUUAUUUUGUUGACUGCACCUAAAAUUUUGGAGCUAGUCUUUUAGGCUAUGGCACCUUUCCAGUCACUAUACUCCAUGCAUAUUGUCACUAUUUGUUAGUAAUAUUCGAAUCUUAUGAUUGUUUUACUGCCUCGUAUCUUUGUUCUCACGUCUUAAAGGGCGAUGUCUGGCAUAACCCUUCUUGGUUGAGUUCCGUUCUUGCAAUUGGGUUGUGGUACGGUUUCGUCUAAUAACCAAACCAGCAGCUCACUUUUCUAAUUUACGGGGAAGACGACUGUAACUGUAACUUGCCCUGGUUGACUCGUGUGUCGCCCUGGUUGACUCAUCUGAGUUACUGCCUUGGUUUACUAAUCUGAGUGUGAUGCCCUGGUUGACUCAUCUGAAUUGUUACUCCCUUAGAGCAUCUUCACCAGAUUAAAUAUAAGUGAUCACUUUU
rnacentral:lncRNA from 1 species